CGCCAGCAGCGCAGAGCCUUCAGUUACACCUGAGCCUGAGGUCUCUGUGCCAUCAAGGAGUCCAGGUUACACAUGGAUCUUGAUUGUUGCAGAGCUCCUGAUUAUCC